rnacentral:rRNA from 1 species
GGUUAAGCGACUAAGCGUACACGGUGGAUGCCCUGGCAGUCAGAGGCGAUGAAGGACGUGCUAAUCUGCGAUAAGCGCCGGUAAGGUGAUAUGAACCGUUAUAACCGGCGAUUUCCGAAUGGGGAAACCCAGUGUGAUUCGUCACACUAUCAUUAACUGAAUCCAUAGGUUAAUGAGGCGAACCGGGGGAACUGAAACAUCUAAGUACCCCGAGGAAAAGAAAUCAACCGAGAUUCCCCCAGUAGCGGCGAGCGAACGGGGAGGAGCCCAGAGCCUGAAUCAGCAUGUGUGUUAGUGGAAGCGUCUGGAAAGGUGCGCGAUACAGGGUGACAGCCCCGUACACAAAAGCGCAUGUGCUGUGAGCUCGAUGAGUAGGGCGGGACACGUGGUAUCCUGUCUGAAUAUGGGGGGACCAUCCUCCAAGGCUAAAUACUCCUGACUGACCGAUAGUGAACCAGUACCGUGAGGGAAAGGCGAAAAGAACCCCGGCGAGGGGAGUGAAAAAGAACCUGAAACCGUGUACGUACAAGCAGUGGGAGCACAGGUUUACCUGUGUGACUGCGUACCUUUUGUAUAAUGGGUCAGCGACUUAUAUUCUGUAGCAAGGUUAACCGUAUAGGGGAGCCGGAGGGAAACCGAGUCUUAAUUGGGCGUUAAGUUGCAGGGUAUAGACCCGAAACCCGGUGAUCUAGCCAUGGGCAGGUUGAAGGUUGGGUAACACUAACUGGAGGACCGAACCGACUAAUGUUGAAAAAUUAGCGGAUGACCUGUGGCUGGGGGUGAAAGGCCAAUCAAACCGGGAGAUAGCUGGUUCUCCCCGAAAGCUAUUUAGGUAGCGCCUCGUGAAUUCAUCUCCGGGGGUAGAGCACUGUUUCGGCUAGGGGGCCAUCCCGGCUUACCAACCCGAUGCAAACUGCGAAUACCGGAGAAUGUUAUCACGGGAGACACACGGCGGGUGCUAACGUCCGUCGUGAAGAGGGAAACAACCCAGACCGCCAGCUAAGGUCCCAAAGUCAUGGUUAAGUGGGAAACGAUGUGGGAAGGCCCAGACAGCCAGGAUGUUGGCUUAGAAGCAGCCAUCAUUUAAAGAAAGCGUAAUAGCUCACUGGUCGAGUCGGCCUGCGCGGAAGAUGUAACGGGGCUAAACCAUGCACCGAAGCUGCGGCAGCGAACGUAUCACCCAAGACAACUUUACGGAGUUGACGAUUGACGGAGCGAAGCGACGUCAAAGCGUUCAUUAAAGUCGAGUUGGCUUAGGGAUACGUUCGUUGGGUAGGGGAGCGUUCUGUAAGCCUGUGAAGGUGUGUCGUGAGGCAUGCUGGAGGUAUCAGAAGUGCGAAUGCUGACAUAAGUAACGAUAAAGCGGGUGAAAAGCCCGCUCGCCGGAAGACCAAGGGUUCCUGUCCAACGUUAAUCGGGGCAGGGUGAGUCGACCCCUAAGGCGAGGCCGAAAGGCGUAGUCGAUGGGAAACGGGUUAAUAUUCCCGUACUUGGUGUUACUGCGAAGGGGGGACGGAGAAGGCUAUGUUGGCCGGGCGACGGUUGUCCCGGUUUAAGCGUGUAGGUGUGUGUUCCAGGUAAAUCCGGUUCACUUUAACACUGAGGCGUGACGACGAGGCACUACGGUGCUGAAGCAACAAAUGCCCUGCUUCCAGGAAAAGCCUCUAAGCAUCAGGUAACAUCAAAUCGUACCCCAAACCGACACAGGUGGUCAGGUAGAGAAUACCAAGGCGCUUGAGAGAACUCGGGUGAAGGAACUAGGCAAAAUGGUGCCGUAACUUCGGGAGAAGGCACGCUGACACGUAGGUGAAGUGAUUUACUCAUGGAGCUGAAGUCAGUCGAAGAUACCAGCUGGCUGCAACUGUUUAUUAAAAACACAGCACUGUGCAAACACGAAAGUGGACGUAUACGGUGUGACGCCUGCCCGGUGCCGGAAGGUUAAUUGAUGGGGUCAGCGCAAGCGAAGCUCCUGAUCGAAGCCCCGGUAAACGGCGGCCGUAACUAUAACGGUCCUAAGGUAGCGAAAUUCCUUGUCGGGUAAGUUCCGACCUGCACGAAUGGCGUAAUGAUGGCCAGGCUGUCUCCACCCGAGACUCAGUGAAAUUGAACUCGCUGUGAAGAUGCAGUGUACCCGCGGCAAGACGGAAAGACCCCGUGAACCUUUACUAUAGCUUGACACUGAACAUUGAGCCUUGAUGUGUAGGAUAGGUGGGAGGCUUUGAAGUGUGGACGCCAGUCUGCAUGGAGCCGACCUUGAAAUACCACCCUUUAAUGUUUGAUGUUCUAACGUGGACCCGUAAUCCGGGUUGCGGACAGUGUCUGGUGGGUAGUUUGACUGGGGCGGUCUCCUCCUAAAGAGUAACGGAGGAGCACGAAGGUUGGCUAAUCCUGGUCGGACAUCAGGAGGUUAGUGCAAUGGCAUAAGCCAGCUUGACUGCGAGCGUGACGGCGCGAGCAGGUGCGAAAGCAGGUCAUAGUGAUCCGGUGGUUCUGAAUGGAAGGGCCAUCGCUCAACGGAUAAAAGGUACUCCGGGGAUAACAGGCUGAUACCGCCCAAGAGUUCAUAUCGACGGCGGUGUUUGGCACCUCGAUGUCGGCUCAUCACAUCCUGGGGCUGAAGUAGGUCCCAAGGGUAUGGCUGUUCGCCAUUUAAAGUGGUACGCGAGCUGGGUUUAGAACGUCGUGAGACAGUUCGGUCCCUAUCUGCCGUGGGCGCUGGAGAACUGAGGGGGGCUGCUCCUAGUACGAGAGGACCGGAGUGGACGCAUCACUGGUGUUCGGGUUGUCAUGCCAAUGGCACUGCCCGGUAGCUAAAUGCGGAAGAGAUAAGUGCUGAAAGCAUCUAAGCACGAAACUUGCCCCGAGAUGAGUUCUCCCUGAGACUUAGAGUCUCCUGAAGGAACGUUGAAGACGACGACGUUGAUAGGCCGGGUGUGUAAGCGCAGCGAUGCGUUGAGCUAACCGGUACUAAUGAACCGUGAGGCUUAACCUU